AACGAACGCUGGCGGCAUGCCUAACACAUGCAAGUCGAACGAGACCUUCGGGUCUAGUGGCGCACGGGUGCGUAACGCGUGGGAACCUGCCCUUAGGUUCGGAAUAACUCCUCGAAAGGGGUGCUAAUACCGGAUGAUGUCUUCGGACCAAAGAUUUAUCGCCUAUGGAUGGGCCCGCGUUGGAUUAGCUAGUGGUGGGGUAAAGGCCUACCAAGGCGACGAUCCAUAGCUGGUCUUAGAGGAUGAUCAGCCACACUGGGACUGAGACACGGCCCAGACUCCUACGGGAGGCAGCAGUGGGGAAUAUUGGACAAUGGGCGAAAGCCUGAUCCAGCAAUGCCGCGUGAGUGAUGAAGGCCCUAGGGUUGUAAAGUCCUUUUGCUUGGGAACAAUAUUUUGAGUGUACCAAGAGAAUAAGAGGUUGCUAACUCUGUGCCAGCCGCCGCAGUAA
rnacentral:rRNA from 1 species